UAAAGACGAGAAGACCCUUAGAGUUUUUCUAAAGUUGGGAUUAAAUUUCUCAUAACAGUUUAGUUGGGGCAACAUAGGAGCAGAAUAAAUAUUUAAUCUCCUGAAAAUAAUUAAUCGAUUAUUUUAGUAUUGAAUAAACUACCUUAGGGAUAACAGCAUAAUUUUACUAUUAAGUUUGUGACCUCGAUGUUGGACUGGGAAACUUAAAGGUUAGCCACCUUUAAGGUGAGUUCUGUUCGAACUAUUAUUCCC
rnacentral:rRNA from 1 species